UAGGAGAACAUAACUGUAUGUAUUUAACAUUGUCAAAAAGGGUGUAUUUGAACCAUAUUGACCCUUUUUUUAAAAUACCUUCAAAAGACACAGGGCAAAAUAAUCUGUCUCUUUGCAAAAGCUGAGUCACUGGAGACAUGAUGAGACUCUCUGGAAGUGUCCUGCUUGCCUGGCAGGUGAAUGUCCUGGCAGCUCAAACAGGGCAGACUGAAGUCCCACUAGGAUCACAAGAUGGUCACACUAAGUGUCCACAGAUAACUCUGUGCUAUUGUCCUGUGAGACAACAGGUUCGGGGGGCUUCAGAACGCCUCCUCUGCCUAUCCAUAGGUCUGGAACUGGUGGGGUUCUCCAAGGAGCACAACUCACACGCUCUGUGGCCUGGGCUCUCUCCCGCCGUUGAGGAGGUCUGUGAGUUCCCUGAUGUACUUGAUGGUGUACUUGAGUGUCUGGAUCUUGGUGAGCGGCUGGCCUCUCUGGCUGUAGACAGGGGGCAG
rnacentral:lncRNA from 1 species